rnacentral:SRP_RNA from 1 species
GCCGGGCGCGGUGGCUCAUGCCUGUAAUCCCAGCACUUUGGGAGGCCAAGGCGGGUGAAUCACCUGAGGCCAGGAGUUCAAGACCAGCCUGGCCAACAUGGUGAAACCCCGUCUUUA